AUUGAACGCUGGCGGCAUGCUUUACACAUGCAAGUCGGACGGCAGCAUAAAAGAGCUUGCUCUUUUGAUGGCGAGUGGCGAACGGGUGAGUAAUGCAUCGGAACGUACCGAGUAGUGGGGGAUAACUGUCCGAAAGGAUGGCUAAUACCGCAUAUUCUCUGAGGAGGAAAGCAGGGGACCUUAGGGCCUUGCGCUAUUUGAGCGGCCGAUGUCUGAUUAGCUAGUUGGUGGGGUAAGAGCCCACCAAGGCGACGAUCAGUAGCGGGUCUGAGAGGAUGAUCCGCCACACUGGGGCUGAGACACGGCCCAGACUCCUACGGGAGGCAGCAGUGGGGAAUUUUGGACAAUGGGCGCAAGCCUGAUCCAGCCAUGCCGCGUGUAUGAAGAAGGCCUUCGGGUUGUAAAGUACUUUUGUCAGGGAAGAAAAGCCUGAGGAUAACACCCUCAGGUCAUGACGGUACCUGAAGAAUAAGCACCGGCUAACUACGUGCCAGCAGCCGCGGUAAUACGUAGGGUGCGAGCGUUAAUCGGAAUUACUGGGCGUAAAGCGAGCGCAGACGGUUAUUUAAGCAAGAUGUGAAAGCCCCGGGCUCAACCUGGGAACUGCGUUUUGAACUGGGUAACUAGAGUGUGUCAGAGGGGGGUAGAAUUCCACGUGUAGCAGUGAAAUGCGUAGAGAUGUGGAGGAAUACCGAUGGCGAAGGCAGCCCCCUGGGAUAACACUGACGUUCAUGCUCGAAAGCGUGGGUAGCAAACAGG
rnacentral:rRNA from 1 species